AAAAUUUUAUUUAAUAUUGUAAAUAUAUCUGAGAAAUAAAAUUUUUGCAAUAUGUUUGUUAGAGUAAAAGAAAUGAAUUCAAAGUUCAAAUUUUUCCGCUACUCCAACGUUGUAGACAUAAUAGUUCCUGCAGUGAUAGCUAGGUGGCGCUGAGAAUAUAUUAUGACGCUACAUAAAUUAAUGCUUAAUUUCAACACACUACUAUUCAAAAUGUUCUAUUGAAAGCAUUAAUUUCGAAAUAAUAUCAAUUUUACUGCAAAAGCUUAUCAAAAUAUGAAUUAGGGUGCAGUAGCUUCUUCCUUGAAGUACAAUUUUUAAAGAUAUGUGUUGCCAGAUAUUACAAAGUUUUUAGAUUAUGUUAUUGGAACAAAAAAAAGGUAGACUAGAAGAAAUUUAUGAAAGAUUUAUUCUUGAAAGAAUUGAUUGACAAUGGAAGAUAAAUAGAGAUUGGAAAAUUUUCAAGGACACCAGUCUGACGAACUUGCGUUGACGAACCUGCGCCUUUUUAUACGUAUUAUCUCCCAUGCUGAAAUGUGGACCAGGAGCCUACCUGUCCUGUGCAGAAGACCUCUCGCAGUAUUGAUCACUGCGGGAGGGAAAGGCACGUUGGGGGAUAGUCGAUGAACACGUGGCACCAGUCGAACUUUCAAGUGAGGAUUUUCACUCCUCACACAUGCAAAUAGAUCAGAAAAAGUAAAUAAAAUAAUGCUUAUAUAUAUACAUAUACGUAUUGACAUUAAAAUGAACAAGAUUGUUAAAAUGAAUGAAUUGUUAAAUUAAUGAAUAUUUGAAAAUAUUGAGUUUAUAAUGAGUUGUUGGAGUAUUGAUCCAGCUUGGUUCAAAUACAGAUUUGUCAUUGAGCAGGUUUUGUAUGAUCUUGAACUUGUAUUGAUCUCUGAAAUUAAGACUACAUAAUAUUCCUGAUUAAAUAAAAGCUAAGUUUAAUUUUGUCAAGAAUAGUACAUAAUUAAUUCUUAGUAUCAUUUAUUUUCUUUACCCAAAUAUUGUUAGUAUCAUUAAUUUUCUGUACUUGCAUGUAUUAAACUAUUGGUAAACCUAAAUUUAAGUUCUAUUUCAAAAAGAAAGGUAUCAAAGAAGUUAUGAACUAGUUAACCAGUUAACAAACGCUACCUUUCCAGGUAUCCUCCAUUCCGUACCCUUUAAAUCCAAAGCAUAUUUUGUACCCAGAGUUGGUUGAUCGUGGUAGCAAUGGGAAGACGUUAUCGAAGGAGGCGGUCGAAGAGGGUGAGCUAUGAAGGAGCGGUACUGAAGGGAGAGACGAGGAGAAUGCAAUCAGAGGGGUUGAUAAUACGAGCAAACCGAUAGGAACCGACCCAAGAGCAGCGUAAUGGUGAACCAAAAAGAGGUUAUGUCACGCGAAGCGACGUGUAAUCCGACGAAAGGCAGGCAGAUCUUCGUCUAGAAAGAAAGCAGAAUGUGUAAGAAAGGGAAAAUCCGUGCGGAAUCAAUUCGGCCCGUGUAUCCCGAUGCAGGGAGGGUGACUGGUGGUUUUUCAAGGGUGGCGUUCGGGCCACGCCUGCCGGCUAAGCCACGCCCGUUCACGAACCUAUCCCCGGAGGCUGUGUCGAGGACCGAAGGGCUAAUAAUUCACGUCACGAGCACACCCCACCAUAAAGAGUCAGCCACAGCCGUGGCGCGUCGUAUAUUCGGUAUUAGCGUGCCGUAUGAACGUUAUCCAGCUCCAGUUACUGUUAAUUACCGAUCAUCUUCCGUAAUUAAUUGCCUCUUCGAUCGAUGGAAUCUCUUGGCUGUCGACACUGUUGGUUGCUGGAUAUCGAUCCCGCGUCCCCAGUCUGUGCAAAUCAUUUUCACUAGGUUAGGUUAUGGAGUACUCCUGGAAGGUUAUAGAAUAUUGUUGCAGAGCACUAUUGAUAUUGCAAUAGAGGUAUUUUUUGAUAUAGUUUGGUGGAUUUCGAAAAAUUUAUAGUUGACGAUGUUGAAAUUGAGAAGGAUGGUGAGAAGAUAUUGAGUUUUGUCAUUUUUUAGGGUUACGUUUAUGAGUAUCCAGGUUGAAGAGCCAUACCAAUAUAAAUUUUAGCUCUUAAUUAGAAUUUUGGAAUGUUAAGAUAGUAUAUAUAUUGAGAUAGUGGGAUGUUCUGUUUAGCUUAAUGAAUUUUGAUGGUAAAACAGAAGAUUGAUAAGGACAUAUUAAGUUGUGCAGAUUCUUAGGAAAGAUGGGUAUGCAUGUUCAGAUUGAAGAAAUUCAAGAAUAUAAAUAAUAUUAAAAAAUUAGAAAAUUAUGUAAUGUGGCUUAUACAAUAAAGAAUAUUUUAACUUAAUAUUACCAGAGACGUUAUGAAAAAUGACUGUAACAAAAGUAAGUAAUAAAUGAAAAGUAUGGAUAGAAUUAUUUGCACAAUGAAAUAAAAAUACCACGAUAGAAAUAAAUUGGUAAAAUAUAGAAAUUGCUGAAUUAAAUACUCGUUUCCAUUGUGCGUGAAUGUGUUCUGGUCCAGCGGCGGUGUUUUAAUUCUGAAAAUCGAUAUCAUCUUUUGUCAUUUAUUAUCUCGCCAGGGAACAAGAUCGCAACGAUACAGGCUGGAGUGAGGUAAUUAACUGGUCUGACAAUUAUGUAACAUAUUGACUCGUUUACAUCCGGACGUAUUUCAUCGUUAUUUGAUAAUCCAUCGUCAUCAUGAAGAUGAUUGUUUUUGAUGUGAUUGCGAGUCGAACCUUCAAGCAUAAUUCAGGCUUUUGUAAUUU